rnacentral:rRNA from 1 species
AGAGUUUGAUCCUGGCUCAGGACGAACGCUGGCGGCGUGCUUAACACAUGCAAGUCGAGCGAUGAAGUUUCUUCGGAAAUGGAUUAGCGGCGAACGGGUGAGGAACACGUGAAGAAUCUGCCCUCCACUUUGGGAUAACACCGGGAAACCGGUGCUAAUACCGAAUAUUGAAACAUAAGUGGCAUCACUGAGUUUUGAAAGAAUUUCGGUGGAGGAUGACUUCGCGGCCUAUCAGCUAGUUGGUGAGGUAAUGGCUCACCAAGGCAACGACGGGUAGCCGGCCUGAGAGGGCGACCGGCCACACUGGGACUGAGACACGGCCCAGACUCCUACGGGAGGCAGCAGUGGGGAAUAUUGGGCAAUGGAGGAAACUCUGACCCAGCGACGCCGCGUGCGGGAUGAAGGCCUUCGGGUUGUAAACCGCUUUCAGUAGGGAAGAAGCGAAAGUGACGGUACCUACAAAAGAAGCACCGGCUAACUAUGUGCCAGCAGCCGCGGUAAUACAUAGGGUGCAAGCGUUGUCCGGAAUUAUUGGGCGUAAAGAGCUCGUAGGUCGUUUGUUACGUCGGAUGUGAAAACCUGAGGCUCAACCUCAGGCCGGCAUUCGAUACGGGCAAACUAGAGUUUGGUAGGGGAGACUGGAAUUCCUGGUGUAGCGGUGGAAUGCGCAGAUAUCAGGAGGAACACCAAUGGCGNNNNCAGGUCUCUGGGCCAAUACUGACACUGAGGAGCGAAAGUCUGGGGAGCGANC